GUGCAUCGGUCGCCAUCUUGGCAUAGGGCGGGACCCCACGCAGAGGUGCGGGACACACUCUCGGGUACCCUGCAGUCUGGGUCAUUCGUUCUGAACACUGCCGCAGUGACCCAUGGGGCAGUGGAACAGAUGUGUUUGGGCAGCUCAAACCCGGGGCUGGCACGGCAGCACCAUUUUUGCCCAGGCCCAUGGGUGCCGCCAUCUUGCUUUAUGGAGGAUGGGCGGGCACGCACUGCCAUCUUGCUGUCCUGUGGGCCGCAGGGACCAGCUCCACGUCCCACAGAGUGUCACCCAGAGCUCUACCCUCGUGGUGGUCCCGCUUGGGGCUCGUGAAGAGGGGACCAGAGCCUGGCAAGUGCAACCGCCUGAGGCCCGGGAUGGUGAUCGCUGUUCAGCUGUGAACUGCUCCCACCGGCUGGGCAAUGAGGAGAACCUGCCGUCUCCUUCCACAGGUAACCGGCCGCUGCCACUGGGUGAGCCCCCCACAUGGUCCAACCUGAGGUGAGCAGCACUUUGUGCUCGGGGCCUCGGGGCUGGUCCAGCGGGUGAGUCAGUGCUGGGUACUGUGUUGCCUUGGUCUGGACCACCAUCUCUGCUCUGGGCACCUCAGGGCACCACGGCCACCCCACAACCACCGACAUCCACCUUAUGGCCUCCACCACACUCUCACCCACACCUCGCGGCCACCCUGCUCUCCGUUGAUUCUGGCUGGGGCCAAUAACGUCAAGAAACAGCGUAUUCUGGAAACGCUGUUCCUUAGGUCACUAUCUUCUUGCAUUUGCUGUGACUUUUCUGCUCUUUUGAUGGCAGGGAGCCUGCCUUGAUCUCUUCGAUCAGGAAUGCGGCCGAGCAAAUGCAGCUUGUACCUGCUGGAUGGAUACAGCUCCUAGACGCUCUGUUGCUGGAAGAGUCCUGGCAGCGCAGGGACAAGUGGCUCUGUGCGUGGAGCAGGCUCCCCAUAAAGGGCUCAAAACGUGUGGUCCAGUUUUUGAAAGCUGUUCACAGGGAUUACUGGACCCCACUAAGCGUUCUUUCGUCUGUAGUGAACAGUUCACAAAAAAAAGCUCUUGGAAAGGCUGGAGGGUCAGUAUUACAUGCUCAAGCCCACAGCCAUGCCCUCCAUCUUCCAACUGACUGAGAUGGGGGGGCUGAAGGCCAUGGCUACCCCAGGAGAAAGGACAACAGGAAGGCCACCGGGGGCCUGAGGGACACGCGAGUGAGGCAGUUGGGAAAGGAGAUGGAGGUUCAUCAUGGUCCUCGAGGGAAAACCUGAGGGCCUAGCCAGGGUCCCGCAAGUUGAAGCGAGCCACUCUGCAGGGUGAACCCGCACCCAGGGCUUCCUAGGAAGCCGCCAGUCAGGAGCGGGCGCAGAGUCUCUGGAAGCAACUCUGGGAGACAGUGUGGCCUCCACAGCGUCAAGCAGCCGGGGAGACGCAAACACGUCUGCUGUAGAUGCUGGCAAUGAGACCCCCCUCUUCCCUGCCAGGGCCUGCUGGGUAAGAGUGUCAUUUCCGUGGGUGACUUUACCCCCCAGGUUCUGGAGCGUGCAGAUUUAUUGGCUGGCUUCCUUCUUACAGUUUCUCCUCAGCACACACUUGAGAGAGGCCAUCUGUCCCCCGAGAGCCAGUCGAGUGAAGGAGGCUGAAGAGAGAAGUGGAGCCCAGCUGCGGCAGGACCAGCCUGGGGCCUGACGAGGGCUUGGCCCAGAGCCCCCAAGUUCAUCAUUCACAAUGACACUUCAGAAACUCUCCCAGAGCCCCUCCACCCUCCAACAGACGUCACCCCGAAGCCAGCCGCAGAAGCUGUGCAGGGUGAGCACAGCGACACAGGCCCUAUUUCCCUCAGUGGGGUCAUCCUGUCAGCGCUGUGGGCCGAAGAACUUCUCGACUCACUGCACUCCUACUGCUUCUGCUCCCGGGGGAAUAGGAGCACGGGUGCCGCCUGUGGCAGCAGGUGGAUAGAACGGCGAGCUGAAGAAAGGCAGCCGCUGAGAGCCAGGUGCACACGCUGCCGGAGGAGCCGGAUGAGCUGAAGGGAGGGGGCUCCCUGUCUGAGCAGCCUGCUGCCCCCAGCCGAGGUUGGUGGCAGCAGUGUGAUCCAAAGGAGACAUCUGAUGGCUUUGGGGAUGAGAAACACAGGCAUUGGUACCCACAAAAACUUUGAGUUCUCCAUCUUUUUUGCUGUUUCCGAGUGCUGUUGGAGUGCUAGAUCCUGAAGAACUUCUCCUCGCCCCACACUGUCAUCUCUGCUCUGCAGAAAACCUCCACAAGCAACCUGAAGAACACAUGGGGGAAGUUUCCUGAUGGGAGAGCUCUGAAAAACUGAAGUAGCUCUAUAGCCAAGAUGAGUCCUUGAGAAGAGAACUGAUGCCCAAGGGAAGGAAAGGAUGUGACUGUGUGGUGCAGGCCUCACAGGGUGGUCAUGAAGUAAGAGGGAGAAAAGGAAUGUGGGAGCUUUCUGCCUGCUCCACCUGGAGGGGUGAGGGUGAGAACAAUGAUGACAGUCAUAUGCCACUGUGUCCUCAGGAGAAGCUGUGAGGUAGCUGGAGUUCUCACACCUUCCAGAUGAAGAAACAGGCCUGGGGAGGGCAGGAGAAAAGCCUAAGUUCACACCCAGAGUGAGAGUUGCAACUGGGCUUGUUGUAGAAUCACAACAUCUUGGAGGAUGGAGUGGCAUUGGUACCAGUUGCUUCGAGUCAGAUGUCCAGGUUUGGAGGCCAGUGGUGCUGGAGAGAAAUGGGGUGAGGUGAGUAUGGCCCGCUGACACUCUCUUUGGCCCUGGCAGGAGGGGCCCUCCACGACUGCCCCCCCCCGCAGAUCAGCCCCCAGAGAGUGGAGGAGAAGCAGCAGCAACAGCAGCAGGUGAGUGUGCCUGUAGGGGAGGGGCUCUGCCCUCCCAGCUGGAGGCCUCAAAUCAAGAGAAGAGGACCCUUCCUCUUGGUGGCACAGUGCCUGAAUCCCCCAGUAGAAGUGACCAGGAGGAGGGCCUGGAAGAGGUGGUGCAGGAUGGGUUUGUUGUGGGGAGGGCCAGGGACUGCAUACCCUGUGCUUUUCCAGAAGCUGGGCCUGGGAGGUGAGGAGGAGAAGUGUGGUGUUCUUGGGGUGUGAAGGGAGGAGGAAUUGAGGGGAGGUUGCUAAGGGUCCUAGGCUGCUCCCCGUGGGAACCCUGGGGUGGGCCAGGAGGCUGAGGGUGAGGACUUUUGAGGGGAGUGUCUACAGGGGGCUGACUUGAGAGCAAGGGCUCAUCCCACCUGUACCCUGAUGUUACAGAGUGUCAUCCCCUAUCUUGGCACUUUCCUCGGUGAACUGCUGAGGCUGCACCUGGUGAUGGGUGAUUAUCUCGAGGUGGGUGAACCUGAGGACCAGGCAGGGAGGACCAGGAUCCUGAGCCUUGAAGUGCGGGAGUCCCCGAACUGAGCUCUGAGCUCUCAGCACUUGGCACAUCUCUCAUGAGUGUCUCGCAGCCGCCCCUGGGAGCUGGGGCAUCAGACCCAUCUUAGGGAUGAGUGAACAGAGGCUCCACCUGAGACACCCAUUCUGGUUCCCCAGGUUGGGGAAGCUCAGAGCUGACUGAUGGCACAGCUGCAUGAGGUUUUAUCUGAGCUGGACUCAGCCUCUCCCUCCCAUGCUGCCCAUGGAGGGAGAGAGAAGUCGGGCCCCUCCAAGUCAGGCAGCACAUAAGUGGCUGAGUAAUCCCCUCUGCCUGAGGUCUCCGCCUCCAAGUCUGUCAUCAGAGAGGGUUGUGCUGCCAGGUCCCUCAGCCUCACUCCCAUCUCCUCCUUCUCUGGAGCCCAGAGCCUGGCCUAGGUCCAAGUCCUGUUUUCUCUGCAUGCCCGGCCCCCUCUGGGGACCUGGCAGUAGUGCAACAUGAGAAGGUGUGGGCAUAGGGGGCUAGUCAGGGUAGGGGCCUCUGUCUGAUUGACUCUUGCUCUCUGCCUUCCAGGGGAAUGAGAUCAACCUUGAGUAAAGGACUGGUGUGUGCAGCUGUGACAUUCCCUGCAGGGGAGGGGAAAGAGGUGGAAAUCAGAGACCCUCUGGGCAGAACAGUCCCUGGCUCCACCCCCUGUAUGUUACAUUGAGUGGAAGAGUUUGAUAACAGAGAAGUGGGAGACCCAUCCAAUUGGUGGGUGGGUUGAGGGGAGGAUGGCAUCAAGGAAAACUUCCUGGAAGAGGGGCUGAUUAUUCCCAUUCUGAGAACAGUUAGAGCCUUGAUGGAACUAGAGGGAAGGAGUUUUCCCAGGAUUGGUCCCCUGCCCCAUUCCUGACCCCCCACAAUGCCCCUGCAGCAUCUCCCCCCCCAGGCCCUGUCUGCAUUCACUCCUUUCCUCUGCCUCUGGUCCCAGGAAUACCGAGUCAUGAGGGAGAUCCUGCUGCUCCAGGUGGCUGCAAAGAAUUACAACCUAGAGCCUGAGGAGUGAUUUGGGGCCUGGUUCCAGGACAUGGAGCUGCUCAAUGAGAAUGAUAGGUCAAAGACCAAGGGCAGAGGUCAUCGAGAGGUCGUCUAGUCUACCUAUGGGUGUUGCAGGCUUAACUAUGGAUGUUCAAGCCACACAUUGCCAGCAGAACCACAUCUCUUCACCCAUAGCACGGACUGUAGGAGAAAGCCCAGAGGAGCAAUGAAGACAAAGAAGACAUGACACCUGCAAAAAGUCAGUGGAGUAUUUCUACAUAACGAACCUUCCAGCUACUCUGAUUGACUCCAAAUACUACAGCGCCACACGCUUCUCAGACUGGUGGAUGCACAGCUCCACUUCUUUGCAGGGAGGAUGCACAACAGCAGAAUAUCCAUGGCCCGACUUUCUGGAGCAUCAGUAUUACUACAAGAUUUGGAAGAAGCAAAGUUAGGUCAUUUCCAAGAUGAGACAUAACACAAGCAGUUGGUGGCAACCUGAAGACUAGAGUUCGUCUCCUGACUGUCACAUCACUCCCACCCCCGACUGCUGUGCAGACCAGACACCAGACAAGAUACAGCAGUCACUCCUGGGGAUAAUUCACACAUUCCCAAUUUAGCAACAUUUUAGUUGAUGUACGUGACAAGGCUAUAGAAAAACAAGGUAUUUACUACUUAAAUUGUGUAAUGUAUAGUUAAAUGACAUUGAAAGUUUUCAUUUCACUUACAGCACAGUUUUGAUGGGCCCAGGGGCCUUCUUUCAUCUGCUUACCCUCCCUGACCUCUCAAACAUUCUCUGCCUUUCUUCUCUUGCUCACUGUGCUCCACCCACACUGGCUUCUUGCUGCCCACCAACAUCCCAGUCACAGUCCUUCCACCGCAUCUCUGCAGCCCUGGGAUAUCUGCAUAUCCUCCUGCCAUGUCCCUUCACUCUGGGACUUGGUCCAGCCUCCCUGUGUUCUCUAAUUAAAGUAGCAGCCCACUCACUCCCUAGCUCUCCCCAUUGCCUGUCACUUACCUUCUUCAUGACACAGAUCAUCACACGAUAGACUAUGUAAUUCACUUGUCUGCCUACUUAUCCAUUAUCUCUCUUAACCAACAAAAUCAAACUCCGUGAAGACAGAGAUCUUGUACAAAAUUUUUUCCUUGGUGUAUCCCAAGCCUGGCAUACAGUAGGUGUUUAAAUAUUUGUUGAAUAAUUGUAGGAGGGAAUGAAAGGACUGAUCAGAAGAAGGAUCACACCAUGGAAGUAGGUGCCAUCAUGAAGAGUGGGCAUCCUAGGCAGGGAAAGUGGGAGGAAAGAUUUCAUGACAGGCAACACGGAUACCACUAUGCCUUUACUACUACCUGCACAUCAGCUUGUUGACGUAAAUAAUCCAUAAUCAAUAUAUAAAUCAAAAUUGUGGUGAGUUUAUAAUGAGCCAACCAUUGAGGACCAUGGCCCUGGGGCUUCCUUCCCUAAGGAAGGAAGGGAACCAAAGAAGUGGGGUGUACAGAGUGGUUAUAUACUGUCAAACAGCAUGUAUCACAUUGGAUUCCAAUGUCCCUUUUACAAUAGCCACAAGAUCGUCCUUCCAGAUUGCCCUGCUAGAAUAGCUAUUGAUGGACACAGCGUGGAGCAGGUGUGCUGUCUCGAUGGGCUGUGGCUGGUGUCAGGUCUGUUGUCUGGAGCUGGGUGGUCACAGGAUGACUGCAAUCAAAUCCUAGCCUAGGGAGAAAUGCUUAUCCUUAAGGAAAUGCCAAUCAGGGUUAAGUUGUAUCCUUAUCUUAAGGGUAUUUACACUUCUAUUUGAGAUAUGGCAAAUCAGAUACACAAUGCAGGUGACAGGCCUUUUUGGAAAAACGAACUCAGGCCGAAUUAGUUUUACCCUAAAUAGCUUCCUCAUAUGCUCCAAUAUAUCCUAUUGUUUGCCAUUUAUUUAUCAGGCUCAGUAUGUCUUUCAAACAGAAAUCAUCGAGAAUAGCAUGAAGCAGUCACUUACCAACAGAUGUCACUGUGGCAACAGAAUAUUAAGUGGCCUUCAAAUAUAACCAUUUUCCCAAAUAAUGUAUUUCACUGACUUAAUCAAAAAGGGAUUCUUCUCUCUUAUACUGACAAAUCUCCACACUGAACUUAACACUAGUGGUAGCCAAUUAUGAAUAAAAACCUUUAACAUCAAAGCCAGCCAAUAGUUCUUGUUAAAGCAAAUCCAAACUCGGGAACACUUUUGUUUUCAGUCACCUCCAAAUCCUCUCAAACUCAAGAUAAGUUCCUGGCUUUGUGCAGAUUGAGAAAAGCUUCUCUUCCUCUUUUUCUAUUCAGAUAGUGCAAGGAAGAGCCCAAAGUGUCUCCUGGUGGAACACUAACAGUUCUUUACAUUAGAAAUG